AGGCGACGACGGGUAGCCGGCCUGAGAGGGCGACCGGCCACACUGGGACUGAGACACGGCCCAGACUCCUACGGGAGGCAGCAGUGGGGAAUAUUGCACAAUGGGCGAAAGCCUGAUGCAGCGACGCCGCGUGAGGGAUGACGGCCUUCGGGUUGUAAACCUCUUUCAGCAGGGAAGAAGCGAGAGUGACGGUACCUGCAGAAGAAGCGCCGGCUAACUACGUGCCAGCAGCCGCGGUAAUACGUAGGGCGCAAGCGUUGUCCGGAAUUAUUGGGCGUAAAGAGCUCGUAGGCGGCUUGUCACGUCGGGUGUGAAAGCCCGGGGCUUAACCCCGGGUCUGCAUUCGAUACGGGCUAGCUAGAGUGUGGUAGGGGAGAUCGGAAUUCCUGGUGUAGCGGUGAAAUGCGCAGAUAUCAGGAGGAACACCGGUGGCGAAGGCGGAUCUCUGGGCCAUUACUGACGCUGAGGAGCGAAAGCGUGGGGAGCGAACAGGAUUAGAUACCCUGGUAGU
rnacentral:rRNA from 1 species